rnacentral:rRNA from 1 species
GAGAUCGGGAUAACACCUGGAAACAGAUGCUAAUACCGGAUAACAAUAGAUGAUGCCUAUCAACUGUUUAAAAGAUGGUUCUGCUAUCACUCUUGGAUGGACCUGCGGUGCAUUAGCUAGUUGGUAGGGUAACGGCCUACCAAGGCGAUGAUGCAUAGCCGAGUUGAGAGACUGAUCGGCCACAUUGGGACUGAGACACGGCCCAAACUCCUACGGGAGGCAGCAGCC